rnacentral:rRNA from 1 species
GACGAACCGUACGAACGUUAUUCGGAAUCACUGGGCUUAAAGGGUGCGUAGGCGGCGCGGAAAGUUGGGUGUGAAAUCCCUCGGCUCAACCGAGGAACUGCGUCCAAAACUGCCGUGCUCGAGGGAGACAGAGGUGAGCGGAACUUAGGGUGGAGCGGUGAAAUGCGUUGAUAUCCUAAGGAACACCGGUGGCGAAAGCGGCUCACUGGGUCUCUUCUGACGCUGAGGAGCGAAAGCAUGGGGAGCGAACAGG